CCUACGGGAGGCAGCAGUGAGGAAUAUUGGUCAAUGGCCGAAGGGCUGACCCAGCCAAGUCGCGUGAGGGAUGACUGUCCUAUGGUUUGUAAACCUCUUUUGUCGGGGAGCAAAGGCCGCCAUGGCUGGCGUGUGGCGUGUACCUGAAGAAAAAGCAUCGGCCACCUCCGUGCCGAGAGCCGCGGUAAUACGGGGGAUGCGUGCGUUACCCGGAUUUUUGGGGUUAAAGGGGUGCGCAGGCGGAAUGUCAAGUCAGCGGUAAAAUUGCGGGGCUCAACCCCGUCGUGCCGUUGAAACUGGCGUUCUUGAGUGAGCGAGAAGUAUGCGGAAUGCGUGGUGUAGCGGUGAAAUGCAUAGAUAUCACGCAGAACCCCGAUUGCGAAGGCAGCAUACCGGCGCUCAACUGACGCUCAUGCACGAAAGCGUGGGUAUCGAACAGGAUUAGAUACCCGAGUAGUC
rnacentral:rRNA from 1 species